rnacentral:rRNA from 1 species
GCCUGAUGCAGCAAUACCGCGUGGGGGAAGAAGGCCUUCGGGUUGUAAACCUCUUUUGUCGGGAAGAAGCGAAAUUGACGGUACUUGCGUAAAAAGCGCCGGCUAACUACGUGCCACCACCCGCGGUUAUACGCCAGGCGCAAGCGUUAUCCGGAAUUAUUGGGCGUAAAGAGCUCGUACGGGGUUUGUCGCGUCUGCUGGGAAAACCCGAGGCUCAACCUCGGGCCUGCGGUGGGUACGGGCAGACUACAGUGCGGUAGGGGAGAUUGGAAUUCCUGGUGUAGCGGUGGAAUGCCCAGAUAUCAGGAGGAACACCGAUGGCUAAGGCGGAUCUCUGGGGCGUAACUGACGCUCAGGAGCGAAAGGGUGGGGAGCAAACAGGCUUAGAUACCCUGGUAGUCCAUCCCGUACACGUUGGGAACUAGUUGUGGGGUCCAUUCCACGGAUUCCGUGACCCAUCUGACGCAUUAAGUUCCCCGCCUGGGGAGUACGGCCGCACGGGUAAAACUCAAAGGAAUUGACGGGGACCCGCACAAGCGGCGGAGCAUGCGGAUUAAUUCGAUGCAUCGCGAAGAAUCUUACCAAGGCUUGACAUAUACGAGAACGCUGCACAAAUGUAGAACUCUUUGGACACU